AUGGCAGCAGCCUCUGUGUGGGGGGGAAAAGCAACAUGCUGGAUAUUGAAUUGGACUUUCCUCCUUCCUAGGAUGAAAGGAUGUUAUCUAUCCCGUGCCAAGAGGGAACUGAGAAGCGAUGAAUGCUGCAUAAUUGAGUACAGUAUUUAAUUUGGCUGUUGUGAAGCAAAAGAAUAAGGUAAUAAUUUUUAUUGUACUAAUCAGACUCAAGAUGUUCUCUGUGUUAAUUGGGUUAAAAAAAUUGC
rnacentral:lncRNA from 1 species